rnacentral:rRNA from 1 species
UACGGAGGAUUCAAGCGUUAUCCGGAUUUAUUGGGUUUAAAGGGUGCGUAGGCGGUCGGAUAAGCUAGAGGUGAGAUCCCGGGGCUCAACUUCGGAAUUGCCUCUGAUACUGUUCGGCUAGAGAGUAGUUGCGGUAGGCGGAAUGUAUGGUGUAGCGGUGAAAUGCUUAGAGAUCAUACAGAACACCGAUUGCGAAGGCAGCUUACCAAGCUACUUCUGACGUUGAGGCACGAAAGCGUGGGGAGCAAACAGG